rnacentral:rRNA from 1 species
UACGAAGGGGGGCGAGCGUUGUUCGGAAUUACUGGGCGUAAAGGGCGCGUAGGCGGUCCUUCAAGUCAGGCGUGAAAGCCCCGGGCUCAACCUGGGAACCGCGCUUGAGACUGGCGGACUCGAGUUCGGGAGAGGAUGGUGGAAUUCCCAGUGUAGAGGUGAAAUUCGUAGAUAUUGGGAAGAACACCAGUGGCGAAGGCGGCUCACUGGCCCGUAACUGACGCUGAGGUGCGAAAGCGUGGGGAGCAAACAGG